CCUACGGGAGGCAGCAGUCGAGAAUCAUUCACAAUGGGGGAAACUCUGAUGGUGCGACGCCGCGUGGGGGAAUGAAGGUCUUCGGAUUGUAAACCCCUGUCAUGUGGGAGCAAAUUAAAAAGAUAGUACCACAAUAUGAAUAGACGGCUAACUCUGUGCCAGCAGCCGCGGUAAUACAGAGGUCUCAAGCGUUGUUCGGAAUCACUGGGCGUAAAGCGUGCGUAGGCUGUUUCGUAAGUCGUGUGUGAAAGGCGCGGGCUCAACCCGCGGACGGCACAUGAUACUGCGAGACUAGAGUAAUGGAGGGGGAACCGGAAUUCUCGGUGUAGCAGUGAAAUGCGUAGAUAUCGAGAGGAACACUCGUGGCGAAGGCGGGUUCCUGGACAUUAACUGACGCUGAGGCACGAAGGCCAGGGGAGCGAAAGGGAUUAGAUACCCUUGUAGUC
rnacentral:rRNA from 1 species